rnacentral:rRNA from 1 species
CUUGAACGCUGGCGGCAGGCCUAACACAUGCAAGUCGAACGAGUGGCGGACGGGUGAGUAAUGUCUGGGAAACUGCCUGAUGGAGGGGGAUAACUACUGGAAACGGUAGCUAAUACCGCAUACCCUCGGAUGUGCCCAGAUGGGCUUAGCUAGUAGGUGGGGUAACGGCUCACCUAGGCGACGAUCCCUAGCUGGUCUGAGAGGAUGACCAGCCACACUGGAACUGAGACAGGGUCCAGACGCCUACGGGAGGCAGCAGUGGGGAAUAUUGCACAAUGGGCGAAAGCCUGAUGCAGCCAUGCCGCGUGUGUGAAGACGGCCUUCGGGUUGUAAAGUACUUUCAGCGAGGAGGCGUUACUCGCAGAAGAAGCACCGGCUAACUCCGUGCCAGCAGCCGCGGUAAUUC